GAGAGAGACAUGCGCGCAUAUCAAUAAGCGGAGGAAAAGAAACUAACAAGGAUUCCCUUAGUAACGGCGAGUGAAGGCGGGAAGAGCUCAAAUUUGAAAUCUUCAAGGUUUUACCUUGACGAAUUGUAGUUUAAAGAAGUGUUUUCUGCUGAAGUUUUGGUAAAAGUUCUUUGGAAUAGGACAUCAUAGAGGGUGAGAAUCCCGUAUUUGACCAUUAUUUUCAGCUUUGUGAUACACUUUCAAAGAGUCGGAUUGUUUGGGAAUGCAGUCCAAAAUGGGUGGUAAAUUUCAUCUAAAGCUAAAUAUUGGCGAGAGACCGAUAGCGAACAAGUACCGUGAGGGAAAGAUGAAAAGAACUUUGAAAAGAGAGUUAAACAGUACGUGAAAUUGUCAAAAGGGAAGCGUUUGACACCAGUGUUGUUUUCUCGAAAAUCAAUUAAAAAAGGCAGGAUUUUGUGUUGUAUUGACUUUAUCAGCUUUCUGCACUCUUUUCUUGUCUUUUUUUAAUGCACUUUUCGUUUAACAAGUCAACAUCAAUUUCUUUUGUUGUAAAAGGGUCAUUGGAAGGUGGCUUUCUUUUCGGAGAAAGUGUUUAUAGCCUUUGGCCUCUGCAAUCGGAGAGAUUGAGGUCUGCAGCGUAGAUCCUUCGGGGUUAGAUACAUUUGUGCUAAGUUAUAGCCUUUCAUAGACAACUUGUUGACUAUGAUCAGUCAUGUAGCUUACUCGCUUAUGCUAUUUUACCUACGCUUAGGAUGUUGAGUCGUAGAGCACGCAG
rnacentral:rRNA from 1 species